rnacentral:lncRNA from 1 species
UAAAAUGAAUAUACUAGAGGCUCUAAAGAGCCUGUGUCGCUCACCUUGGUCUAUGUGAAUAUUAAAGGAAGCAGAUGGAUUCAUGACAAAUUGUGUUUUUGGGUGAUGGUGAUGUGUUUGUACAUCUUACUUUACUGAACAUUCUUGCUGCUUAAAAUUAUCUCUAUCUAUAAUGAACUUGGCCCAUUAGUUUCAGUGGAAAAUGUUAGUAAAAAUUUACAAAUUUUAUGAAAAUUUUUAAAAAUUGACUAUAAAGAACAAUAACUCCUAAGGGGGUCAAUUGACCAUUUCGGUCAUGUUGACUUAUUUGUAAAUCUUACUUUGCUGAACAUUAUUGUUGUUUACAGUUUAUCUCUAUCAAUAAUAAUAUUCAAGAUAAUGACCAAAAACAG